UACGAAGGGGGCGAGCGUUGUUCGGAUUUAUGUCGUGGGCGUAAAGGGUGCGUACGGCGCGCGGUAAAGUCGGGGUGUCGAAAUCUCGGAAGCUUAACGUCCGGAAACUGGCAUUCGAUACUGGCCGUGCUUGAGGGAACUGGAGAGGAGACUGGAAUUCCUGGUGUAGCGGUGAAAUGCGCAGAUAGCAGGAGAACACCCGUGGCGAAGCGGCUCUCGUGGGACGGUACC
rnacentral:rRNA from 1 species